GCCACAUAAUAAUCAUAUGAGAACCAGUGGUGUACAUUGAUAAGGUCCAAAUAUAAGAGGUCGGCACCACAAUCAUAUAAGAACCGGUUUAUAAAUUGAUAAGGUCCAAAUAUAUCGCCCGGUAAAACGAUAACUCGAACGAGAGAUUUCUCCCAUUAUAUAAGAGCGCAUUUGCAAGCCAGAUGAGAGCGAACUGAAGCCAAAAUACAUCACCUCUCCCAUCCUUCAGUUGAAGAAGCAGAGCCACCAAACUCUCUUGUUGCAGGGACAGGCAUGGAGGAAGAGACGGCUACCACGGCCGGACGGAAACACGAUGACGGCGUCGACUCGGAGGAUCCAGGGAGCGCCGGCAAUGGCAUCAGCUCGCUGGAGCAGCCCCUGCUGAAGAAAAGCAACACCCUGACGGCCAACCACCUCGCCAUGGUCGGCGCCAAGGUCUCGCACAUCGAGAGCCUCGACUACGAGUGAGUACUCCGUCCGUCAAACGCCCGAUCCUCGGAUGCCAGUUUCGUGAACUGAGCAUGGCGUGGCCUGCAGGAUCAUCGAGAACGACCUCUUCAAGCACGACUGGAGGAGCCGGUCCACCGUGGAGGUGCUGCAGUACGUGUUCCUCAAGUGGGCGCUGGCGUUCCUGGUGGGGCUCCUCACCGGCGUCAUCGCGUCGCUCAUCAACCUCGCCAUCGAGAACAUCUCCGGCGUCAAGAUGCUCCACAUGGUCCGGCUCGUCCGGGACAAGAGGUACUGGGCCGGCUUCUUCUACUUCUCCGGCUUCAACCUGGCGCUCACGUUCGUCGCCGCCGUGCUCUGCGUCGUCUUCGCCCCCACCGCCGCCGGCCCCGGCAUCCCCGAGAUCAAGGCCUACCUCAACGGCGUCGACACGCCCAACAUGUUCGGCGCGCCGCAGCUCAUUGUCAAGAUCAUAGGCAGCAUCUGCGCGGUGGCGUCGGGGCUGGACCUCGGCAAGGAAGGCCCGCUGGUGCACAUCGGCGCGUGCCUCGCCAACCUGCUCAGCCAGGGCGGCUCCGGCCGGUUCCGCCUCCGCUGGAAGUGGCUGCGCUUCUUCAACAACGACCGCGACCGGCGCGACCUCAUCACCUGCGGUGCGUCGUCCGGCGUGUGCGCGGCGUUCCGGUCGCCCGUGGGCGGCGUGCUGUUCGCGCUCGAGGAGGUGGCCACCUGGUGGCGGAGCGCGCUGCUGUGGCGCACCUUCUUCAGCACGGCCACCGUGGUGGUGGUGCUGCGGGGCUUCAUCGAGGUGUGCCGCGGCGGGCGGUGCGGCCUCUUCGGCGCGGGCGGGCUCAUCAUCUUCGACGUCGGCGACGUCACCGUCCGCUACCGCCUGGGCGACCUCCUCCUCGUCACGCUCGUCGGCGUCAUGGGCGGCGUCCUCGGCGCGCUCUACAACCACGUCCUCCACAUGGUGCUCCGCCUCUACAACCUCAUCAACGACAAGGGCCGGACGGCGAAGCAGGCGCUGGCGCUGGCCGUGUGCGCGUUCACGUCGGUGGGGCUGUACGUGCUCCCCUUCGCCGUGCCGUGCACGCCGUGCGACCCGGCGUUCGGCGCCGCGUGCCCGGCCACCGGGAGGAGCGGCAACUUCAAGCAGUUCAACUGCCCCGCCGGGCAGUACAACGACCUGGCCACCCUCCUGCACGCCACCAACGUGGACGCCACCCGCAACAUCUUCUCCACGGGCACCCCCGGCGAGUUCCGGCUGGACUCCCUGCUCAUCUUCUUCGCCAUCUACUGCGUGCUGGGGCUCUUCACCUUCGGCAUCGCCGUGCCGUCGGGGCUCUUCCUCCCCAUCAUCCUCAUGGGCGCCGCCUACGGCCGCAUCGUGGCGCUCGUGCUCCAGAGCGCGGUGGCGGCGAGCAUCGACCACGGGCUCUACGCCGUGCUCGGCGCCGCGGCGCUCAUGUCGGGCUCCAUGAGGAUGACCGUCUCGCUCUGCGUCAUCUUCCUGGAGCUCACCAACAACCUCACCCUGCUGCCCAUGACCAUGUUCGUGCUGCUCAUCGCCAAGACCGUCGGCGACGCCUUCAACCCCAGCAUCUACGAGAUCAUCCUGGACCUCAAGGGCCUUCCCUUCCUAGAACCCAAGCCAGAGCCAUGGAUGAAGGACCUCACCGUGGGCGAGCUCGCCGCCGCCAAGCCGCGCACCAUCAGCCUCCAGGUGGUCGAGAAGGUGUCGACCGUCCUGGAGGUGCUGCGGAACACCGGCCACAACGGGUUCCCGGUGGUGGACCGGCCGCGGCCCGGGCUGUCGGAGCUGCACGGGCUGGUCCUCCGGGCGCACCUCGUGGCCGUGCUGAGGAAGCGGUGGUUCCUUUUGGAGAAGAGGAGGACGGAGGAGUGGGAGGCCAGGGAGCGGUUCUCGUCGGUGGAGCUCGCCGACAAGAACUGCAAGAUGGACGACCUGGAGCUGACGCCGGAGGAGCUGGAGAUGUACAUCGACCUCCACCCGUUCACCAACACGACGCCCUACACCGUGGUGGAGACCAUGUCGGUGGCCAAGGCCGUGGUGCUCUUCCGCUCCGUCGCGCUCCGGCACAUGCUCAUCAUGCCCAAGUACCAGGGCCCCGAGAUAUCUCCGCUUGUGGGGAUCUUGACGAGGCAGGAUCUGCGGGCGCACAACAUCCUCGGCGCGUUUCCUCACCUGGCGAAGAAGAGCAAGGCACACUGAAGCUGAAAGCUACUAGCACCAUUUUUGAGAAUCUGGAUUGCUAAAUCUCAGUUGAUUGAGACUUGUCUCAGUCCAUGCUAUAUUCGUGAGAUCUUAUGUGAAGAUCUGUGCAAACAGUUUUUUUUGUGUCAUUUGAAUGAGACUUGAUUAAAUCUUAGUUGACUAAAAUUUAGCCGCACGCUUUGGGAGUUAUUACUGUCAACAUGUUUCCUGUCUUGAAGCAUGAGAACAUUGACUCACUUGUCUCACUUGAUAUUAGACGGGACACUCAGAGAUUCUUUCUUUUCUUCCUUCUUUUUCUUUCUGGUUCAUGAUUUGUUUGCUUUGUUGCCCAUGUAAAAUCACGCGUACACGUGUCCAAUACACACUCAUGAUGCAAUAAGCAGUUCUUAAAAAUGUUUCAGCAUCUCCGCAAAAAAAAAUGUUUCAGCAAGAAUUGGAAAGCGAGAAGUCCCAAC
rnacentral:rRNA from 1 species